rnacentral:rRNA from 1 species
AGAUUGAACGCUGGCGGCAUGCUUUACACAUGCAAGUCGAACGGCAGCACGGGGGCAACCCUGGUGGCGAGUGGCGAACGGGUGAGUAAUAUAUCGGAACGUACCCGGAAAUGGGGGAUAACGUAGCGAAAGUUACGCUAAUACCGCAUAUGCCCUGAGGGGAAAGCGGGGAUUCGUAAGAACCUCGCGUUUUCGGAGCGGCCGAUAUCGGAUUAGCUAGUAGGUGAGGUAAAGGCUCACCUAGGCGACGAUCCGUAGCUGGUCUGAGAGGACGACCAGCCACACUGGAACUGAGACACGGUCCACGACUCCUACGGGAGGCAGCCGAGUGGGGAAUUUGGACAAGUGGGCGCAAGGCCUGGAUCCGAGCCAUGACCGCGUGA